GACGGACGCUGGCGGCGUGCCUAAUACAUGCAAGUCGAACGCACUCUCGUUUAGAUUGAAGGAGUUUGCUCCUGAUUGAUAAACAUUUGAGUGAGUGGCGGACGGGUGAGUAACACGUGGGUAACCUGCCCUAAAGUGGGGGAUAACAUUUGGAAACAGAUGCUAAUACCGCAUAAAACCUAACACCGCAUGGUGUAGGGUUGAAAGAUGGUUUCGGCUAUCACUUUAGGAUGGACCCGCGGUGCAUUAGUUAGUUGGUGAGGUAAAGGCUCACCAAGACCGUGAUGCAUAGCCGACCUGAGAGGGUAAUCGGCCACACUAGGACUGAGACACGGCCCAGACUCCUACGGGAGGCAGCAGUAGGGAAUCUUCCACAAUGGACGAAAGUCUGAUGGAGCAACGCCGCGUGAGUGAAGAAGGUUUUCGGAUCGUAAAACUCUGUUGUUGGAGAAGAAUGUAUCUGAUAGUAACUGAUCAGGUAGUGACGGUAUCCAACCAGAAAGCCACGGCUAACUACGUG
rnacentral:rRNA from 1 species